rnacentral:rRNA from 1 species
GACGAACGCUGGCGGCGCGCCUAACACAUGCAAGUCGAACGGAGCUGAGAGAAGCUUGCUUUUCUUAGCUUAGUGGCGAACGGGUGAGUAACGCGUGAGUAACCUGCCCUGGAGUGGGGGACAACAGUUGGAAACGACUGCUAAUACCGCAUAAGCCCACGAUCCGGCAUCGGAUUGAGGGAAAAGGAUUUAUUCGCUUCAGGAUGGACUCGCGUCCAAUUAGCUAGUUGGUGAGGUAACGGCCCACCAAGGCGACGAUUGGUAGCCGGACUGAGAGGUUGAACGGCCACAUUGGGACUGAGACACGGCCCAGACUCCUACGGGAGGCAGCAGUGGGGGAUAUUGCAAAAUGGGGGAAACCCUGAUGCAGCGACGCCGCGUGGAGGAAGAAGGUUUUCGGAUUGUAAACUCCUGUCGUUAGGGACGAUAAUGACGGUACCUAACAAGAAAGCACCGGCUAACUACGUG